AAGCCCGUUCUCUUCCCACGUUCACUAUAUUUCUAGCAUGUCUCAGUGGAUUUGGACAGGUAUAUAAAUAUAUUAGCUAGAUAACUUACUGCGGACUAGUUUAAUUCUUUUUAAACUAGCAGAACGUCAUUCAUACCAUUUUCUUUCAUGCUUUUUAGUGUACAUUAUACAGAUUCAAAGCAUCAUUGAAAGACAAUCCAAAUGUUACAGUCCUUGUCAUUUUCUUUAAGUUCAUUUUCUUUUAUGUUUAAUGAAUUCUAAUGUUUAUUAAAAAUCUGUAUUAAAGGUACAAAUUAAUAUUAAUGUUUUACUUUUUUAAAUUUAAUAUCAGAUACAUUUAUUGUUGUGGUAUACACAUAUUUGGAUAUUUGUCUUCAGUUGGAAUGUUUUAUAAUGCUAACCCAAGGCUUAGAACUGUAUUGAAGGUUUCCUCACACAUAAAGCUUACAUAAUUAAAAUGAUUGCAGAAAAUAAGUGUAUAAAUUAAAGUUAGUGUGAAUUAUUCGGCCCAUUUAAGAUAAUAAAUUAUUAGUUGAAAAGAUAUACACAUCACCGUGUAUAGUGGUCUCAACUGUUUAUUCAACAACUUCGAUACAAUAUUGUCUUCCUCUUUAUUAAAAUAUUACAUUUUUUCUUGUAUUUGAAACGUACAUUUCUUAGUAACACUGUUACUACCUCUCUGUAAUAAAUAGAGAAAAUUGAACAUGACUUUCUGUAUCAAACUUACUUUAAUCCAUUACAAUUAUUGUAAUAAUUGUUUUAAUAUGUAAAACUUUAGAACAUUAAGCUUUAUGUAUGAAAUAAACCUUGGUAUUAAUUUUAGUAAAUUAAAAUAUAGGUUAUAAUAUAAUUCAUGUAAGUGAUUUAGUGUAGGGCAAGCACACAAAAAUAAACAGGAAAUUAACAUUUUAUAUCUACAUGUGAGUUUCCAUUCCAUGUAGAUAAUGACAGCAAAAUUUGUUUAUCCCCAAAGUAAAAUAAAAAUAGUAAUGAUAUAAUAUAGCCUAUAUCGGUUUUUGGUAGUGUGAGAAGGAUUAGUCAGUUUAGUCUAAGUUUUUUUGGUUCUGCACCAGUUAUAAUAAAUUAAUUUUUCUAAAAAUGUUUUUAUAAUCUAGUAACCUUUCAGUUAUUACAAUAUAAUUUACAGCACUUGACAAUGUCAUCUUAUAUAGGAGGUCUGAGAGCUCUGAACUGUAUACCUCAUGAUAGUGAGUUAACAGAGGAACACCUCUACAAUUUGUGACAGGUGAAAUCCGUUAACUAUGGGUUUUUAUUUAUCGCUAAUAGCAACUGUCGCUCUUGACAACCAAUAACUUUUCAAAACGGUAUACUAGGCUUCCUUCAAGUAGUCGUUAAGACUGCUCUAUCUUCAAGUCAGGGGUAGCGUAGCUAAAGGUAAAAUAACCGCCACUUCAAAAAAUAUCUGCCACUUGCAUAUCAUACCAAUAACUGAAGUUAGAUAGGUUUAAAUGAUUACAAAGAAGUAUUUGCAAGUAUUGGAAACAAACAUAUUUCUAUCUUAUAUUGUAUGAAAGACGUCUUAAAAUAUAAUUUCCAUGAAUAUUAGAUUCAAAUUGUGUUAUAAUAAAUUUUUAUUGUAUUAUACAAUUUUUUGAAUUAUAAAUUUGACACAUGGAAAUAGUAUAACAAGGGAAGCAAGUAACACUCAGGUCUUUCUUUUAUUCUUGCCAUGGUGUCUGAAUUUUCUGUUUAUACAUAGUUUUUGAUAAUGGCAACCAGCUGUUCAUUGUGGUAACAUUGACUCUUUUCAAUGAACUUGCUAAUUACAUAAAUUGACGAUACAGUACAAUUUACUUAUAUUUCUAUACAAUGUAUACCCAUACAUAUAAAUAUAUGCUCAUUCUAAAGAAUAGUGAAUAUUAGUGUAUUGUUCACCAUUAAUAAAAUUAGUUUUAUCAGAUUAUAACAGAAUUAAUGCAAGCAUAUGGUAAAGGAUAUAAAUUUAAAACAUACUUUUUUCUGAUAAGAAAUGAUAUAAUUUCAAUUAACCAGCUUUUUGUUACUUGUUAUCAGUCAAUAAUAAACUGGUGGAACUUAGAGGCGAUUCGACCCAAAGGUAGACCCCUUUAUUUAAAGUUUGUUAUUAACAAUGGAUGGAAAUGAAAAAAAUUAAAGAAUUUCGGACAUUGUAUGUUAUAAAUGUAUAAUACUAUGUUUUGAGAAUUUCAAUCUACCCUCUUAUUCAGGUGUAAAACACUUUAAUACAUGCACAGUGGAGUCUUGCUGCUUCGAACACGUUUAAUCCGAACAAGUCUGGGAGGGAAUUAUUAUAUUUAUUUGUGAAUGUAAUAUACAGCUGUAGCAACUAAUUGCCUGAAAAAAAUGGGUGCAUAAUUUCGUAAUAAAACUCACUUAAUACGCGUAAAGUAUUUUAUUAGAACAAAUUGUGUACACUACACUACAGUACAUAAAUAAUAAGUUUGAAUACAGUGCCAAAUUGAAAAUGAUAGUUUAAUUUUGAGUUAUAUUAAGAAAUGAAAUGAAACAAAAAACUGGAUGUACAGUACUGAUAUUACUGUUGAUUCCAAUAUUAAUUGAAACAACAUGAAUUAAGUUUUUAUCAAUUAAAUAAUAUGUAAGUAGUGCAAGGUCAAGCACUGCUGCAUCUUCUGUGUGUGGCACCAACUGCUCUAUAUCACACAGGUUCUCGAGAGUAACGGUGGUAUGCUUUCGCUUACUUGCCAUAACCAUCAGCUUGCACACUUUUAUUACGCAAAUAAUCACAACAGUGGAAUCGAUGUUUGCACUGAGAAAACAGAUGACACACUGUAGACUACAGCGCAGUGUGCUGCAGUGACGAGGGAGGGGGAGUACAGUCUGGUCUGUAGAGCGUGGACAUGUCCAUGUGUACUACAAAAGUGAACUACGGUGUACUGAAACUUAAUAACUGUAUUCGCAGUCCAACUCAUUUGUCACAUGAAGAACAGUAAAACAGACAAAAAAUGUGUUUUAAUAAACAAUGUUGAUAAUUUUAGAAAUAAAAUAGACCCAUUCUCAUGCUUAAAACCGUGUAUUUUUGUAAUUUAAACAAUUCUGUAAUCCAAACCAGGUUUGGUUCUAAUUAGUUCAUAUUAGCGGGACUCCACUGUACUUAAUACCUGCAAUGUGCUGCAACUAAAAAUUAAAAAUGGUUUCAUACUUGACAACAGCAAGGUCCACACGGGAGAAAAUUGUUGUGUAUGAUGCCAAUUUCCUUUUUUAGUGGCUGUCCAUUGCCGCAUGUUACAUAAGUGGUGUAUGUAUAUCUAUUUAGUGUUUUACACCUAAAGAAGGGAGUUGAUUUCAACCCUUAAAUAUAGUGCUAUGCAUUUUGUAACAUAUAAUGAUGGCAAAUCUCCGAAAUCCUGUUAUAAUUCUCUUUAUUUAGAUAUGCAGCGUUAUUAAUAGUCAAUGGGGAAUAUAUUUACAUUUUUCAAAAACUGUAGGGAAUGAAUUUUGUGUGUUGCCCUAUACUCUUUUAAGUUGUAUAUUAUUGUAGCGCAGAACUGAUUUUAUGUAUAACUUAUUAGCAGAAAUGAUCUCUGUUUGAUGUUUCAAUGUAGUGAAUUUAAAAUGCAAUAGUCUCAUCAAACAACCCAACCCUUGUUUGGACAAUUCUCGUGUAAAUUCCAUUGCAUUUUACAUAAAUUACAUUUACUACUUUUAAAAGUUGAAAAAUGGUUUUGAAAUUCCAAGAUUACACUUCAGAUUGAAAGAUGCCAGUAAAGUAAAUAAUUUUAUAAACAAAAGAGGGAUACGCCACACCACAUGUAAUGUAACAGGCUUUGCUGAGAUUCAGUGCAAAAUUUCAAGUCUAGCUAAUUUCAUUAUUGAAAGAUGGAACCACUGACAAUCAUAUGGAACAGAAAUUUUUACAUCCUUCGACAAACUAAAUAGAUAUUACAUCAACCUACUGUGUGACAGACAGGCUUCAAUGACACUUAGCACCAUCAUAAAAUUUCAAGUCUACAGAUAAAAUCUGUCUUCAGAUAUCUGGCAACAUGAUACAUAAAUAGUUAUGUCCAUUGAAUUAGAUUUUAUAUAAAGAUAUACACACCAAGUCACCGUAAAUGUUGUUUGAAUGUUGUAUACCAACACAUUUGGAUAGUUGAGCUACAUGUUUUAAGUGUACUGAGUUUGUUUACAAAUUUAUUCUGUUGUCUCAAUAUCAUGGUUAUCCAUACAACCAAUGGAACAAUAUCGACUAAAGCUCACCCAAUUCCCAUGGAUUGACAUGCACAAUUACAAGUCUUGGUCUCUUAGUUUUCUACGUGUAGUGCGGACAGACAGAAAUGAAAUUUUUCCAGCCUCAUGAAUGUUAGGCUUUGCUGACGCUCAGCCUGCAAGGAACCACAAAGUAACACAAUGCUGAUUUGUUAAGAUUGAUAUGCAACUGACAUAAAAUCCUUUUUCCAUUUUUUCUAUUAAACUUCUAUUUUUACAUUCUAUGAUGACCAACCAUGUACCCCUUGAGGUGCCACAGCGUUUCUAUAUGAGAUAAAUAGUAGGGCAAUUGCCCAAGUCACUGCACUAUAAAUUUUGACCACACUAUAUGGUUUUCUGCAUUACUGCUAAAAUAUGGCAUUUAUUCCAAUAUUCAUAUAUCAAAUGUUCAUAUAAAUGUUUUGCUUGUCUUGGAUUUUACUUCAAAAGCAUAACUUGUCUUAUUGAGAAAAUCGGGAAAUAACUAACAUUCAAUCAAUAAUAUUUGUAAUUUAAAAUAUAUCUUUCUUAUUGGUGUCUCUGCCAAUGUGAGUUCUUACUUACAUCUUUUGGUGUGUUCUUUUCUUGCUAAAGUUAUUAGUUAGUCGUAAAACAAUCAGAAUUCAAGUGUUCAAUAAACACAUUACGUCACACAGCUCUUACAAUACAUAAAUGUUACAUACAUACAUACAUACACAAUAAAUUAACAAAAAUGUAUGUUUCAAAUUUCAUUUACAAGCAGAUGAGUUCUUUUUUCAAGAAUCAAGAAUUUAUUAAGUCAUUUAACUUUUACAAGUAAUUGACCAAGUCAAGUUUAAAAUCUAUCCUAUCUCUACAUUAUAUUUAACAAAAUACAUUUAACAAUAACAUUUCAUCAAAAGUGCUGACAUUUACUUAAAACCUAAAACUUGAAUCACCGUCUAAAGCUUAAAAAGGCAAGGUUAAGGUCAGUCAAGGGCAACUCAAGAUAUUCUUUAAGACUAUAAAAAGGCUUAUUGACCAAAAAUCUAUACAAAACCAUUUUGAAUUUAUUUAAGUUUAACUGGUGUACCCAAUGAGGCAGCAUAUUGAACAUUUUUAUGCUGAUACAAUCAAACCAGUUUUGUGACACACUUAAUCUAGAAAAUAAUCAAGGAAUUAUAAAUGAUUAGUGACUAGAUUAAUGAGACGAUUGCAUUGUAAAUUGUGAUUGUAAGUUCUUUGUCUUUCUUGUAUUGUUAAAAAAAAUAUAUUACAAUAUGGAUAUUUUGUUACAAGAAUUUUUAGUUUAUUAUUCAUUAUUUUGUGUUUUAUGUACAGAAUUUUUACUUCUGUUUUUGUCCCUGUAUUCCUACUAGUUAAGUUAACAGACAUAGUUUUAUUGUUUCACAAUCUUAUAACUUAAGGAGAAACCCAUGUAAAGGUUGAUUGAUUGAUGGGCCGAUACUGAAAAGUUUAAUUUCUAAUACUGAUAACAUAAUUGUGGGCUAGAUUCUGAAUUCGGUACUGGUACUGUACAUAUUAUUGUGUUAUUUAUAACAAAGAAUAUAUGCAUUGAUACAGAAUGCAAUAGGUAUCAAUUCUGUUGAAUUGUUGAUACCUUGUAACAUUAAAUAUCGACCUAUUGAGUAUUGGAAUCGGCCCAUCCCUGGAUGGAUUUACCAAGGGCAGGUUCACAUUGUGUUUUAGAGAGGUUUCUGCACAAUGGGAUAUAUUUUUGUGAAAAGUCAGGUUUCAGUACACUCUGUACUGCAGACUAGUUGCUGCUGUCAGUACCAGACCAGUGUCAGGCUCACUGUACAUAACACUUCUGUGCUUUCACUUUUUCUUAAAAAUACAUUUUUUUCUCAAAAAUCAAAGAAUUUGUUCUUUGAGUUGUAAAAGUUUAUUGGGACUUUAUAAAGAAUUUUGUGUUUUAUAAACAACUUAUUUUCUACAUUGGUAUUUUUAGAAAAAUUGUGUCUACCUGUCUUUCUGUAAUAACUUCCCUAUUAUGUUAGACCCUUAAAACCCACAAUGUGAACUUCUGCCCAGAAAUUUCUAAAUCAUUCGUAAUGAUUUAUUUUGCAUUAUAUUUAUAAGAGCAGUAGGAAAUAAGAAUUGUAUGUAAUAAUUUACCGCAAAACCAAUAGCAGUAUUGUCUUUAAUUGUUAUAUCAAAGCAUAUUAGACCAAAAUUAAAUAAAAAGCUUUUAAAAACUAGUGUUUCAAAUUUUAAUUAGGUUUAUUGUAAAUUUUGUCCCAAAUUUACCAUUAUAAUUUAUUUUUUACUUCUGUAAUAUCUUUUUAUUUUAUCUGUUAAUUAUUUUAAUUGACAAUGUACAGUAUUUUUAUUUUUGCCAUAGAUUUUACCGAUUGCUAUUUUGAUAUUAUUGAUUUGUUGUAAGGUUGUUUUGUAUUAAAGCAAACAAUACAAGUUUGUGUUGAAUCAAUAGUAUACCUUUAAUUAAUAACAAUUAUUGUGCUAGCUGAUAAAUUGUAAAAUAGAUUUUCUAGAAAUGAAGAUUUUUAUUGUUUUUUACUAUAUAUUUGAAUUAUUUGAUGUAAAAACUGAUUGACAUUUUGCUCUAUUUAGGAAAUGUUAUUUUUUUAAUUAAGACAUAUUGAAUUAACUUUACCAAUGAAACUAUAAAAAUAGUAGUUUAUUAAUACAAAUAUAAUAUUUACAUUAGGGAUCUCUCACUAAUCAAGUAUUGUACUUCACAUAUUUUGUAAUACGCUUGGGAUGUGAUUAUGCUGAAAACAUUAAUUAAAAUUUUGUUUAUUCAAAAGAGGUUUUUUUCCUAAAUUACUUUACACUGGUGAUACAAAAGUAGUUUGAAACAUUCUAGCAUUGCCUCUAAUCUUGUAUUAACCCUUUUACUGCCAACGUCCGACAUAUCGGACGUCGGCAUUUUUGCCGAAAACGCCAACGUCCGAUAUGUCGGACGUCUGUUUUUUUUUUAUUGUUACUGGCUAC
rnacentral:lncRNA from 1 species